GCUGGACGCUGUGGUGCGCACCUGUAGUCCCAGCUACUUGGGAGGCUGAGACAGGUGGACCACUUGAGUCCAAGAGUUCUGGGCUGUAGUGUGCUAUGCCAAUCGGGUGUCUGCACUAAGUUUGGCAUCAAUAUGAUGACCUCCCAGGAGCAGGGGGCCACCAGAUUGCCUAAGGAGGGGUGAACUGUCCCAGGUCGGAAAGGGAGCAGGUCAUACUCCCAUGCCGAUCAGUAGUGGGAUGGUGCCUAUGGAUGGCCACUACACUCCAACCUGGACAACAUAGUGAGACCCCAUGUCUU
rfam:Otolemur garnettii contig114938, whole genome shotgun sequence.